AACCUCCUAAGGUCAUGCCUGGAGAGUUUCCAGUACUCUACCAGUCUCGACUACAGGAGGGAGAGUCAGGCAGAGGCUUGUCCAUUCCAUUCCUAGCUUGGGCAGUGGCUAGCAAGUGGAAGACAUUCUGCUACAAGU
rnacentral:snoRNA from 1 species